rnacentral:rRNA from 1 species
CAGUAGCCGCGGUAAUACGAAGGGGGCUAGCGUUGCUCGGAAUGACUGGGCGUAAAGGGCGCGUAGGCGGUUCGUACAGUUGGAUGUGAAAUUCCUGGGCUUAACCUGGGGGCUGCAUUCAAUACGUGCGGGCUUGAGUGUGGAAGAGGGUUGUGGAAUUCCCAGUGUAGAGGUGAAAUUCGUAGAUAUUGGGAAGAACACCGGUGGCGAAGGCGGCAACCUGGUCCGUAACUGACGCUGAGGCGCGAAAGCGUGGGGAGCAAACAGGAUUAGAUACCCGCGUAGUCCCUGUCUCUUAUAC